CAGUCGAGCGAGCUUGCCUAGAUGAUUUUAGUGCUUGCACUAAAUGAAACUAGAUACAAGCGAGCGGCGGACGGGUGAGUAACACGUGGGUAACCUGCCCAAGAGACUGGGAUAACACCUGGAAACAGAUGCUAAUACCGGAUAACAACACUAGACGCAUGUCUAGAGUUUGAAAGAUGGUUCUGCUAUCCCUCUUGGAUGGACCUGCGGUGCAUUAGCUAGUUGGUAAGGUAACGGCUUACCAAGGCAAUGAUGCAUAGCCGAGUUGAGAGACUGAUCGGCCACAUUGGGACUGAGACACGGCCCAAACUCCUACGGGAGGCAGCAGUAGGGAAUCUUCCACAAUGGACGAAAGUCUGAUGGAGCAACGCCGCGUGAGUGAAGAAGGGUUUCGGCUCGUAAAGCUCUGUUGGUAGUGAAGAAAGAUAGAGGUAGUAACUGGCCUUUAUUUGACGGUAAUUACUUAGAAAGUCACGGCUAACUACGUGCCAGCAGCCGCGGUAAUACGUAGGUGGCAAGCGUUGUCCGGAUUUAUUGGGCGUAAAGCGAGUGCAGGCGGUUCAAUAAGUCUGAUGUGAAAGCCUUCGGCUCAACCGGAGAAUUGCAUCAGAAACUGUUGAACUUGAGUGCAGAAGAGGAGAGUGGAACUCCAUGUGUAGCGGUGGAAUGCGUAGAUAUAUGGAAGAACACCAGUGGCGAAGGCGGCUCUCUGGUCUGCAACUGACGCUGAGGCUCGAAAGCAUGGGUAGCGAACAGGAUUAGAUACCCUGGUAG
rnacentral:rRNA from 1 species